AAACAUCUUAGGGAUUGAACUUCUUCAUUGGAAAAAAUCCCAAUAUCAUUUGUUCUUUUGAAGUAAUCCACUCUUCCAGACAUAUUUGCCUGUGGUUAGGUCAAGGAUAGGGGUUGGGUAGAGGCACAAUACAUUAGGAACAGUUGAAAAAAAAAAGGUCAGAAAAUGGUCCCCACAUGAGCAGUCUUGAUGAACAGUACACGUGAACAGUAUCUGUGAACAUUACCAAUGAACAAUAUGUUUGAACAAUACCAAUGAACGGUAUGUGUGAAUACUACACAUGAAUGGUACUAAGUCUGCCCUAAUGAAUCAAAAGCUUUGAUACCAUGGUGAAACCAGAGGUUUUGAAGAGAAUUUUCUAGCAUAUUUCUCAAUGAAUAAAGAUCUGUAUGUGUCUCAUAUAUAUACACAUUAAUCUAGCCUUAGAAUAGGAAGCUAAAUCUAGGGAAGGAAACAAAAAUUAAUUGCAUGAUUACAAGGAAUUAACUAUAUAUAGAAGCUAAAUUAAUUCCUAUAAUUAUUGGAUUCCAACAAAUUCUAACCUGAUUAUUUUAGCUUGAUUUGAAUUUCUUUCCUCAUAAUCAGUGUCCCAUUAAUUUAAUGUGCAAUGCUACCGGAAAAUUUAACAAACUUAAAGAAAAAAACAAUCACAUUUGUGAAUAUGUAACUUUGUAUAAUUGCUGUCAAAAAUUAAUAUGUACUUUUGUUGAAUAUCUUUCUUACUGUGCUCAGGUGAAGUUGACCA
rnacentral:misc_RNA from 1 species